ensembl:lncRNA
ACUCACAGAGAUGCAGAAGCCAAUAGGAAGGGCAGACAGACAUGUCAUUAUAAAAUAGCGUUUGGACGGUAACAGCCCUUUCCCAAAGCAGACCUCCUUCUUGCCUGGAAACUAGACUGCCUUUGUAGGACUAACAUUAGCCACCAAAUUACAUAUUGUGGUUGAGGAGUCCUGCAGCUGGAGGCUGCAAGCUUCUGACCCCCUACCUAAACUGCUAAGAUCAGUGCUUGAGAUAUUGUGCAGCCCCAGCACUUGAUGGAUCAGCUGGCACCACCCAGAUCAAUAAACUGGCUCAUCUGAUCUUGUGGCCCCCACCCAGGAACUGACUCAGCGCAAGAAAACAGCCUCCAUUCCCUAUGAUUUCAUCUCUGACCAAUCAGCACUCAUGGCUCACUGGCUUCCCUUCAUCGACCAAAUUAUCCUUAAAAACUCUGCUUCCUGAAUGCUCAAGAGACUGAUUUGAAUAAUAAUAAAACUCCGGUCUCCCACAAAAAAGUAAAAUAAAAUAAAGUAGCUUUUGAUUCAGAUUUGCUCAUAAGCCCUCCUGUGCCUAUUUGAGCUAGAGGAGAUGGGAGUUGGUGAGAUGUGGCAGGACAAAAUGGGAAUGAUGAGAGGAAGGCUUACAGUCCUACCUUUUGUCACAGGAAAGCUGUGUCAGUUCCAUUGUAUCAGGUGGGUAUAUGUGUAAGGUAGCUGGACCUGAACUGCCUUAGUAUUAGACAAGUAGAAUCAAGAAACAAGAGACUGCAGGGUGACAGCUGAGAGGCAGGGACAGGGAAAUGAGGUAGAAGAGGAGAAGCCAGAGAUCUACAGCGGCAACUAUGCAGUUUGGAGGCCUUCCUGCAAGGACCUUGAAAGAACUAUGCUUAAGUCCCUAGAGAGAAAACACCUACAUAUUCACACAGAGAAGGGACUAACUGCCCAUUACUGGCUAAGGAAGUUGCAGUGUAUAAGAAAGGAUUACAAUGGUGAGUUAGUAAGUAUAAAGGUCUCUGUCCCUUUCUCUGUUACCUCUGCAAUGCCCCAGCCUACAGCAGCUGGGAGAAGUGAAGGAGCUUCCCCAUUACAAAUCCACCCAGCCAUAGAUAAGGCAUGUGACAGGAAUUAGGGAGAAGAUGAGAUUAGAGUUGAUUAGAGAUUGAGUUUUAAUAUCUACUCUUGCCCAAGAGCUAGUUAAAAAGAAAGAAAAGGAGAUGCAACAGAGCAUGAUUAAAAGCAAUGGAUGGAAAAAAUUUUUUUCAUUAUUGUACAUUGCCAAGUUCAGACUGUUCAAUAGGCCAGUUACACCAGUAUCUACACUGAUGAACUAAUUGAAAUUUCUGGGUCAUCUCUGUGGCUUCAUUUGCUAAAAGUUCUGCUCUUACAGUGUAAUUGAAUUCAAAGACAAGAAAUCACCAGUGUCAAUUGUAAAGAAGAAAAAUGAACUUUUAUUUGGAAAGAAACUGCAUCAAAUUAAAUUAAAUACAGUUUGUAGUUUUGUUUCAACUCACUUAUGUCACAUAUAAUAUCUAAGGAGUAAACACAACCCAGUCCAAAUAGUAUUAUCAAUAGCACCAAAAAAAAAAAAAAAAA